UGUAACACUUUAAAUUUUAAACAAACCUGCUUAUAUAGAGAGUACAACUUCCACUCUUUCAUAUUUGUUUUAAUUACUAUUAAAGGAUGUUUGAUUACUCGAGUUAUCAUUUAUUAUGUUUAUGCCAUUGUUUGUUUAUAAAGUUAUAGUACAAUUAAUCAAUAUGAAAAAUAGUAUAUUAAUUUUACUAAAUGAAAAAACAUUAUUAUUCAAUUUACUGUACAAAAUUGCAUGGCCUAUAUAAAAAUCUGGAAACAAAGUGAUCCCUCGGAAGUAUUAAUCAUGAAAAUUGCAGACUCGGUUUGAUAGAGUCUGUACAUGAGGGAUAAGGAAUAAGUGCAACAUCUCUCACGCCCUCUAGCACCGGCUUGUCUAAAAAAAACUUUGAAGUUUGCAUAAAUGUUUUUAAAAAUUAAAAGUUCAAACACUUACCCUGCGUAAUCUAUGUUAUCGUUCACGUGGUGCACUUCUGGAUCAGCGGAAUUUCUCAUAUAUUUUCUUCCGAUUCUCAAUUUUGUGAUCCAUGUGGGGUUAUUACCCGUGCAUUUGUUAGAAAUAAAAAUAUUACUAAUUAGAAGCAAAAUAGGUCUUAUCUUACAAGACAUUCCAUUUUAUCGGUACAACUUUGCAAUACUAAAUUUUAACUAAUAAUUGCAAUUUUCAAACUAUACUUUAUAUCAAAACUUAUGUAUAACAAAAAUGGCUACAAUGUCUACUAAGAUGAUUUUCGACAGUCUGAAAAUGUCUUGUUAAGUAUUCCUCCCCAUUUUUAUAUCGUUAUGCUUUAAAUAUUAUUCUAAACUAGCAUAAGACGUAGAAGUGUGAUUUUUACAACACGGAAGAACUUUCCUAAAUACACGUGCUCAGGGUUUAAGACUUGUUUAUUAUCCGAAAAUUACCUUUAUUUUUAUUUCUUUGAAAAAACAUAAUAAUUAUGUAAUGUGACUUUCAUUCUUCUAUUUCUGGAAAAUACUAAUUGUAAGCUAAGUUUCAUAUUACAGUAAAUUUGAACAACCUUGUUCUGAUUUAUGGCGCAAUUCUUAGUGUAAAAUGCGUAUAUAAUGCCUUUCAGUAUAUAAAUAUUGCAAUUGAAAAACAGAUAUAUACAACAUAGAACUAUGUUAAGCUGGUUUAUUUUUCAUUAAGGUGAUGAACAAAAUAAUGUAGUAAUUUUGUAUGCUUAUUUACGAAUGAUUAUUUUCUCCGAUAAUUCAAAUCAACUACUUAUCAAGCUUACUUACUACUUAAUCGCGGCUGUCAAAUAUGGUGUUUUCUGAUAUACAAUGUCUUAUGCAAUAACACCGUGUAAACCACUUGCCCCUCACCGCUGUGGGUUCGAAUCCCGACAGGGACUUUGGAUUCUUUCAUGUGAGGAAGCUAUCCAGCUAGCUUAUGGAAUGUCGGUGGUUCUACUCAAGUGCCCGUUCGUGCCUGAAAUAAUGCACGGAAGGGCACCUGAGGUCUUCCUCCACCAGUAAAGCUUGAACGUCGCGAUAUGACCUAUACUCUGUCGAUGUGACGUAAAACCCAAAACAAAACAAAAAACAAAACAAAAAUGUUGGAAAUCCUGUCAGGUAUCCGCCAUUUAUUGCACAAUUCUGCGUUACUUAUUGCACGAAUCAUUUUCACAUUCCGGCGUUACUGGAUAUACUCGGUGAAUAACGUGAUCGAACAUCAAAACCAUUCAAGAUUCUUUUUAAUCAAAUUAACACAAAGGAUCAUAAUUGCAUAAAACCGCUUUUUUAGAUAUUUCAGGGAAUAUUAAAAAGUUAACCGUGGGAAACUAUUCUAAAUAUAUAUAGAUAAAUGAUGUAAUAAAUCUUUUUUUAGUUAAUUUUUCGAAAAUCAUAAUCACAUGACAAUAACCUAGACAAUAUAUAAACCACUUCAUGCAGAUCCUGCGGACACAGGCAAUUAACAACUCCAAAGAGGUAGAUCUAGUAGUUUUACAUUAAGAAACGCUGUUUGAGGGUUAAAUUGUGUGUUCCUUGACUACUAUAUAAAUCCAUAUUUAUCAUUGAAGGAUUUAAAUCGACGUGUAAAAUUACAAGGUUAUUCGUGUCAAGCAGCAGUUCAUCUGUAUCUACAGAACAAAAUGACAGACAAAAGUUUACAAGGUAUGACUGGACAGCCACUACCUAACCAUAUGAAAGCAAACGAAGCAUUACAACGCGGCGUCGCUGGUCAAUACAAAGUAUCUGCUGACUAUCAAGGCAAACCACAGAAUGCUAUAGCAGAAAAGAUUUUUCAAGGUCCUCCUCCCAAGAACAUUACACAGGUUUAUAAACACACUGGAAAUCCACCUGAUUUUCAAACAGUAGCUGAAAAGUUUAAAAAACCAUAAUUUUUUUGACUGCUGAGUCAGACAUAAAACAAAGAUUAUGCAAAUAAUUUUAUUUUACUAUUUGAAACUGAAAGAGCUUUGGUGCUGGUUGAUGCUAAUAUUGAUAAAAUACCUAGGUUUUCAUUUUCAUAGCAUUUUUCUGUUUUUUAUUUGGCGAGUUUUAAGACUAUUUUAUUCGUUCAGAUUUUUAGACUUAUAUUUGAAAUAUUUUCUUACUGUGUAGAUCUCCUUUGAAUUGUUCAAAUGUUGUACUCAAUAAAACAUACUAUUAAAGCAUUUCUCAAGA